UACGUAGGUGGCAAGCGUUAUCCGGAAUUAUUGGGCGUAAAGCGCGCGUAGGCGGUUUUUUAAGUCUGAUGUGAAAGCCCACGGCUCAACCGUGGAGGGUCAUUGGAAACUGGAAAACUUGAGUGCAGAAGAGGAAAGUGGAAUUCCAUGUGUAGCGGUGAAAUGCGCAGAGAUAUGGAGGAACACCAGUGGCGAAGGCGACUUCUGGUCUGUAACUGACGCUGAUGUGCGAAAGCGUGGGGAUCAAACAGG
rnacentral:rRNA from 1 species